AGAUAAUAGAUACCCUGGUAGUCCCAGCAGUAAACGGUGCGCGUUUGGUGUGAGCAGAUUCGACUCUGUUCGCGCCGGAGCUAACGCGUUAAACGCGCCGCCUGGGAAGUACGAUCGCAAGAUUAGAACUCAAAGAAAUUGACGGGGGCCCGCACAAGCGGUGGAGUAUGUGGCUUAAUUCGAUGCAACGCGAAGAACCUUACCUGGGUUUGACAUGCAUCUCUAAGGAGGUGAAAGCUUCCGAGGGUAGCAAUACCCGAUUUGCACAGGUGCUGCAUGGCUGUCGUCAGCUCGUGUCGUGAGAUGUUGGGUUAAGUCCCGCAACGAGCGCAACCCUUGUAUGCUGUUGCUAUGCUUACGCAUAGCUCUCUGCGUAGACUGCCCCGUGAAACGGGGAGGAAGGUGGGAUGACGUCAAGUCAGCAUGGCCCUUACACCCAGGGCUGCACACGUACUACAAUGCUCAGUACAAUUAGAACCUGCCCCGCGAGGGUUGGGAAAUCAGCG
rnacentral:rRNA from 1 species